GUGCUUUUUAUAGAGGCGACCAUCCCACUUCAGUAUGCAGCAGAUACAUAACAACAAACGCCAUGUACUCAGGGGUAACUAUUUAACAACAUUAACCAUUUGCACCAUUUUAUAAAGAAUAUUCUUAAGUAAAACUGGCUUUUUUCCCCCUGUGAAUGUGUGGCUGUUAAGAGUAUGAUCAAUGGCUACUGGUACAGUUUAGUGCCACUGCCUUGACACGUGCUGAAGUACCAGCAGUCUUACAUUGUUUUCGUGCCACUGAUGUCAAUGGUAACCCAACUAAAAAGAUACAUAACUAGCAAUGGGAUUGCUGGGUUGAAUGGUCACUCUGUUUCAAGUUCUUUGAGGCCUCAUGAGAUCCAAUGGUUUUCUAAGCACCUGGUAUUUCCUCUGCUUGCAUUCAAUCCAUCCUGCCAGCCUGUGAAGAAGGUGCCUGAUUCUCCUUUCCCUUCCACCAUGACUGCAAGUUUCCUGAGUCCUCUCCAGCAAUGCAGAACUCCACCUUCCCUUCACCAUAAGGACUUGCAUCCCAUGAAAAGCAGAGAGCUAUUAACAGCAGAAAGAGGAGCAUCCCCAAUUCAGAUAUGUCUACCUUCUUUUUGAAAGUGUUC
rnacentral:lncRNA from 13 species